UACGCAGGGUGCAAGCGUUGUCCGGAAUUAUUGGGCGUAAAGAGCUCGUAGGCGGUUUGUCGCGUCUGCUGUGAAAACUCGGGGCUUAACCCCGGGCCUGCAGUGGGUACGGGCAGACUAGAGUGCGGUAGGGGAGACUGGAAUUCCUGGUGUAGCGGUGAAAUGCGCAGAUAUCAGGAGGAACACCGGUGGCGAAGGCGGGUCUCUGGGCCGUAACUGACGCUGAGGAGCGAAAGCGUGGGGGAGCGAACAGG
rnacentral:rRNA from 1 species